UGCAUGCGACGUCGCGUGUGGUGGUGGGGCAGCGCUGAGUAGGAAUGCUUUGUGCGAGGAGUGGCGAGGAGGGCUCACAAGUGGUGUUGCUAUGCAGGCUUCUGGGAAUCAGAAAAGUGGAUGAAUGUCUCGCCCUGAAAGAAAUCCUCUAUGACAUUGCCAUCGACAAAUGCACCAAGCCGUCCGUCCGUCCGUGGAAAGAAAAUAAAGUUAAAAACAAGAAAAGGAAAAAAAAAUGGGGCAGCAUCAGCUUCCUGCCACAAAAAGAGAAUUCGCUGCACUCAGCAUUUUAAUAACCCGAUGCAUGUUAAUUGACACUUUCUCUUUCUACCUCCCUUGUCUUUUUCUUUUCUCUACUCUGCUUGUUAAUAACGCAUGACCAUAUGCCUCGCCAACCCUUGAAAUGAAAUAAGAAAAUGC